ACACCGUUGGUGAAACGGUAUCAUGCAUCGUUGCCAUUAGGAAUUUUCGAUGCGGCAGGGGUUCGACUCCCCUACGGUGUA
rnacentral:tRNA from 1 species